ensembl:lncRNA
CAAAACUCCAACUCUUCUCUCUGGAAAAGAGAUAUCUCAUCUUCGAAAUCACCGGGAAGUUACAGAAGUGGAGCUUUUAAUGGCACCCACCAUACCUAUAUUGAUGUUUAACAUCUCAGCCUCGACUCUAAGGCACUGCUAAUUAAUCUGGAUGGAGUCAGCCAGGCGCCCUGAAACCUCGGCGCAGCCUGUCUCCAAGUGCAGCACUCAAGACUUGAGGCAGUGGGCUCAGGACACGGUGGGUGCUGGAGCACAUGCGUCCUCCUGCAGGGGCUGCUGGGCCGGGCUGUGCGUGGCUGCUGGGGUGAGAGAACACGGCGAUGCUGAGAAACAUGCCUUACAGGCAGGCUGCUGAGCGGGCAGGUUGCGCUGCAUGAGAAAAUCUAUGCAAAUCUGGGCGUACAAACAGGCAGAGAGUGAGAAGCAGGACUACAGGUCUUUCGUUCUCACUGCUCUGCCUAAUUUAAGAGCAAGCCAGACCUGAUCCAGACAAUAGCGCCAACCACAAUGUCCAUUUAUUUGCAGAGUUGGCAGCUGGCUUAUGUAAGAAAUAAGGAAACUCUUCCUUUUCUCCUACAGACCAAUAUCCCCUGUGACAACACCAUCAGGAUGUGUUUCCUGGCUUGACCAUGUGUGAGCCCCACAGCCUCUCGCAGGGGAGAGAAGAGUUGAGAAGAGCAGAACAGUGCUGUCCCAGGACAGAGGACUGCCAGCACGCCUGCCCUGGAGAAUGAAUUUAGGUAUUUACAUCCCAUAUUACAGUCAGCCAUGAGAUAUUCACGGCAAGAGAUAAAUGAGGAGAGGAGGGGUGGUUCGACUGCACAAGGGCUGAAAAGGGAAAUAACUUUUUACAGCUGGCCAAUUAAGUUAUAAAUCUUGUUGCAUCCUGCGUUUAUUUAAUUUGUUCUCUGGAUGUAAGUAAGGGGGAGGCAUGCACUUGGCCAGGCUGGCCAGGCUUUGGGAAGCAGUGCUGGCAUCCUGUGGGAGCAAUGCUUAGUCCUGCACCUGAGGUGUUCGCUAUGGUCCCACUUGCCUCAGGCUUGCAACGGCAUGGCUUGAAAUUUUGCAGGGGAAAAAAAGAAGUCUUUGGAGGAUAUGGAAAGAUUGGCUUGGCCAGGGCAAAAUCCUCACGCCAAAAUAAGCCUUGUGAGCCUGGGCUGACCGUGCGGCAGCUCCCACAUAGUGAUGCAUGGAGAUAGGGCAGAGGGACAGCUUAGACAUCUUCCAGCUGCUGCCAGCAGCUCCAGGCACCAGAAGACACAAGGUCAGCCCCCCUGCUUGUCACCCCUGGUACUUCUCAUCAUUCCUUUGUGUCAAGAACAGGGCUUUUUCCUUGCAAAGGCCGUGGUGCAUCUCCUCGAUACAGUGAGUCCAUAGUGAUGAAUGGGUGUCUGGAGCCCUUUCCCAGCCAGCCCACGAAAAUUCCUGGACGACAUCGUGCUGUGAAGCUCCAGGUCUUUGCUGUCACAGGUCGGAGGAACGCCAAGGUAUGAGGGAUGAGCUCUCACCAGACCCAAGCCAGCUUGAUCAGGCUCUGCUGGGGCCAGGCUCCUUGCUGACAACAGGAGGAUCUGGACCAGGGACCAUCUUUCAGAGGAGGCGAAUCCUUAACUUGAACUGCUUCCACGGUGGGCGGCCACGUCUGGCAGGCAUCAGGGGACCAGCCGCAGCCGCCCCCAGAAGCAGCAUGAGCCCCGGAGCCAGGCACAGCCCUCCCACGUCUCCUUUGUGCCUCAAGACGCCCGGCCCCGCACCCACCCCCCAAGGGCUGCUUUCCCUGUUGAUAAUCCAUUAUCUACAUUUAAUGCCUCGCUGACGUCCUUCCCUUUGUCUGAUGGUGAAACCUCGACCAGAUGUGAAGCUUCUUAUGUUACUAAUGGCAAAUCCUUUUGCAAUAGCUGGUUGGAAAAUGGGGAAACUGUUUUCAUGAAGUGAAAAUUGAAACAUUGGAGUAAUUUUCAUUCUGCAAGCCUCACAAAGGAGUGGUUUUUAUUUGAGGUCAUUUCUAUUUUUUUUUUUCCAGAAAAAAAGCUGUAGCUCAGAAGAUGAGUUUGUGGUAGCGCUCUCACCACUGAACAUUUCUGCUGUCCCAGUGCAGUUCCUAUUACUCUCGUGUUCCACUUCUGAAAAAAAAUGAAGUGGGGGAAGGGAGGUGGCACAGCCCAGGUCUGCAGGCUGCCUGACGCCUUGCUGGGGCAGCUUAAGGCUUGGGAUACAGCCUGCCCUGGGCAGAGCCAUGAUAGCUGGAGCAGCGAGUCCUUGCCCUGCUGACAACUUAAAGAGGGUCAGCCACAACCCCCCUAUAAAGCAGAGGUGGUAAGGUGUGGCUGAGGAUGGCUCAGUCGUUUGCUGCCUCUCUGAGCAGUGUCCCCAGUAAGCUAUGCAGUGUGAGCGCCUGGGUGACGAGCAGAAAGCACCCCUUGGUGCAGCGCGUGUUGGUGGGAGAGCACACAGGCAGCAGUACCCAAACAAAGCCCUCGAGGGUUUGCAGAUGGAGCCAUGCACUGCAGGCUAGGAUCUAAACUGAGACCCCCAAGCUACAGGCAUGCAGCUAACACAGCAUGCAGCCCCUUUCUGGAGAGCGACAGCACUAGCAGGGCACUUUGCUUUUGCACUGGAGCCCUGUGUGCUGGGAUCUGCGGCACUUCUUUUGAUGAGACAGAUGGUAAGAGGAAAUCCUGGACCACGGGAGCCCUGAGCCCUGUCAGCAAGGCUGGGGAUGAACUGUCCUCCCAACCAAAUGCUCAUUCUCAUCACUACAGACGUGUCCAUCUAUGUCUUUCCUUCAGAUGCAGGCAUUAAUUUCUGCAGCUAAUCAAAAAGUCAUAGAAAAAUGUC